ensembl:lncRNA
UGAGUAUACAUGCCUCACCUGGCCUCACUUCACCUUACUUUACCUCACCUGCCCAGAGCUGACUAAAAUCACCUUGAAAACAUUUGAAUCAAGACACUGCAUAAAAAGAUGAAAUCAGCUGGCAGCACCCUCUGACCACCUUAAACUUCCCAGAGAGGCAAAGAAAGGGCAAGAGAUAAAAUUCGAUAGAUUGAGAUGCCCCCUUAGUCUGAAAAAAGUGCUUCUCAUCACCUGCCUUGGUUCUUUACAACCACUAUUAACGCCUCCCCAGUUCUCUUAUCAGAUCUGCAGCCAAUCAAACCCCUGCCCCCCGGGGCUUCUCUUCUUCCCUGACGCCAAAUUAAGCCUCUCUCCUUUUUGUAAUUUCCCUGCUUUAAUUCCUUAGGACUCUCCUGAGCUCAGAGCUUUCUCAAGAGCUCUUGAAUUUGGCCUCUCCCAUUCCUGAUUUGCAGCAGCGCUUUCUCUUCAUCUGUCGUCAGGAGAUCUGGAAGAAAUAUGCGAGCAUCUCUACCCUGGAUUUUUCUUUGUGGUGUUGUGUGUAUGUUUAAGAACUCAAAAUACCUCAGAGACCAUGAUGAUGGUGAAGCUGACGACGAAGGUGAUGAUGCCUCUGCUCUCUGCAAUGAUGCCUGGCAUUGAGUGAACAUUCCAUUCACUGUGCUCACCAACUGGAUACACGUGUCCUCUUAAUCCUCAGAGGCCACAAAGCCCUUUGGGCUUGGAGUAGGGAAGGCUACUUAUUGCAGUGACUGGUGUGUGAAGAUAAAUAGAAGGAAACUUAGAAAAUGAGGUAUCUCUGCACUGGUGCUGAAAUAGACCAUCAGCCAAGUAGCUUGAGACCUAUCCGAUAUUCUCUUUCUCUUGGACCACUUGCUCUGGGGGAAGCCAUCAGCCACGCUGUGAGGCAACCCAGUGGAGACAUCCAAGAAGCAAGGAAGCGAAGAAGGCCUCCAGCCAAGAGCUAGCAAGGAACUGAGGUCCUCAGUCCAACAACUGUGAGGAAUAGAGGCGCAUGUGAGUAGCUGAGAAGUGGAUACUUUUCUAAUUGUCUUCAGAUGAAACUAUGGCCCAUUGUGAACACAACCUCAUGAGAGACCUUAAAUCAGAGCCACCCAAGCUUGCCCUACCCAGAUUUCUGACUCGGAAAUUGUGAGAUAAUACAUGUUUGUUAAUUUUAGCUGUUAUGUUUGGGGGUGAUGUCUUACUCAAAGAUAGAUAACUAAUACAUCCCAGCACUUAAAAUAAUGCUCUGCAAAUACUGGUUGAAUGAAUGCAUGAAUAACAAAUAUAUGGCCAAAUGCAGAGGACAAAAGAAAGAAAAUACACAAAAUCAUUGACAGUGAUUGUCUCUGGAUAGAUUUGUAGGCCCAUGGGUGAUUAUUUUUAAGUAUUUAUCAUUCCCAUACUUUGCCCCAGCUUUUUAUUGUGAAAUAUAACACAAAGACAUAAAAUUGCAUAAAUAAACAGCUUGAUGGAGUUGAUUACAAAACCAGCAUGUAUGUAACCAGGUGAAAGAAUAGAGUAUUGCCUGCAGCACGGAAUCAUGAGAUUCUUUUUAAAAAUGUUUUUUUCUUCAUAUUCCCCCCAAAAUGUAUGUAUUACUUUCUCUGUCAAUUCUUUAAAAAAAUGUUUUUAUUGGGGGCUGGCCCCGUGGCCGAGUGGUGAAGUUCUCGCGCUCCGCUGCAGGCGGCCCAGUGUUUCGUUAGUUCGAAUCCUGGGCGCGGACAUGGCACUGCUCAUCAGACCACGCUGAGGCAGUGUCCCACAUGCCACAACUAGAAGAACCCACAACGAAGAAUACACAACUAUGUACGGGGGGGCUGUGGGGAGAAAAAG